GGCACGUCUCCCUCCCCGACCUGCCUUCAGGAUCUGGGGUGUCCUGGGUUGGAGGACCCACCUCUUCUGUUGCAACAGACUCUUGAGCAUUUGGCUGUUCCAUGGAUAAGCCAGAUGGAUGGCUUCAAGCAGCCAAAAAUGACAUGAGAAACAAGAUAUCAAAUAGCAACAUAACAGAGGUCAGUGUUGACUCCUGACAACAGCCUGGACAAGUCCCUGCAGUUGUCAUGAGGCAUGAUGGCAACCUUUGGGAUACUGAACGCUGCACUAGAGGAAUGUCGCUUUUAAGCUACCAGCAUAUUCCAGAAGAUUCAAAAGCUACAGAAAAUUAGUCCCAUCACUCUGCAAACUCUGCCAGCAAUUGGAAAGAUCCUCUCACAACUUUGCAAUUCCAACUCCAUCAA